rnacentral:rRNA from 1 species
CACGUAAGGUGCGAGCGUUGUUCGGAAUUAUUGGGCGUAAAGGGCAUGUAGGCGGUUGUGCAAGUCUGGUGUGAAAUACCGGAGCUUAACUCCGGAACUGCAUUGGAAACUACAUAGCUUGAAUCACUGAAGGGGAGCCGGAAUUCCAGGUGUAGGGGUGAAAUCUGUAGAUAUCUGGAAGAACACCAAUGGCGAAGGCAGGCUUCUGGCAGAUGAUUGACGCUGAGGUGCGAAGGUGCGGGGAGCAAAC